UACGAAGGGGGCUAGCGUUGCUCGGAAUUACUGGGCGUAAAGCGCACGUAGGCGGAUUUUUAAGUCAGGGGUGAAAUCCCGGGGCUCAACCUCGGAACUGCCUUUGAUACUGGAGAUCUUGAGUCCGGAAGAGGUAAGUGGAACUGCGAGUGUAGAGGUGAAAUUCGUAGAUAUUCGCAAGAACACCAGUGGCGAAGGCGGCUUACUGGUCCGGAACUGACGCUGAGGUGCGAAAGCGUGGGGAGCAAACAGG
rnacentral:rRNA from 1 species